AUGACGGAUCACCUCCUCACCCGAGCUCGACGCGGCUCCAUCGCUGAUAUGCAGCUUUGCGGACCUUCAAGGUGGAUCAUCAAAAGUGAAGCCCUUGGCGUUGAACGAACCAGACCGGGGCAACACCCCGGGCACGCGAUCGAACUCCAGAUCUGGCACCCCACCACGACUAAGACGCCGAAGAAGGAAACCAUACCUGCCAUCCAUGAACCACGAACCCAACACAUGUUCCGUCUUCCAGCUGUCGUCAAUGCAGACCACAAUCUGCAUCCGCUCCUGGACUACCUCCCAAGCUCUGCGCCGACGCCGGAGCAAACACCGUCGCAACAGCGAAGCCCGAGGACACAUUUUCACCAUGAGGAUGUCGUCGCCGCCACGCAUGAUUGGGCUAAAGUCUACCAUGUCCAGGCGUAUGCAGUGCAACACGUCUCCAUGAUGAGUGAGAGAGCAGUCGUCCGUCUCGCCUGUCCUGUCUCCUUCCUUGUUUCUUCCCCAACUCACGUUGGGAGUACUACCAAACGAUACGAUGGUUUCAACUACAACUGCCGGGGCAAUAACAAUACACUCCUGCUCCUGUUGAGAGUCUCCUCGUGCACUCCGUCGCCGCCCCUCUCCCUCUCUCUCCGGCGGCUCUGCCGUCCGGCGUUGUGUCUUGCCUCCGUGGCGUCUGGCGUUAUGCCGUUCUCGAGCUCCCCGUCGACGCGUCCAGGCAGCGUUCGGUGCUUGCCGGGUUCCUCCCGAGCUUGCCGUCCAUGGAGGACGGCAGCAGAUAGGAGUGGAUCUGGCAGGAGCUCUCCCUCUCCAAUAAGCCUGUUAUCUUCCCUGAUCUGGAGGGCAACCAUCUGCUGUUGCUUGUUUUUCCAGGCCAUCGUGGGGGUGGAUGAGGAGCAAAGAAGAUGCAGAAAUCUGAAGCCUGCAGAUCGAGUUCAAGCUUAUCAGCAGAGGAUUCCAUGGUGGAGCUACGGCGCCCUUGGCUGGCUGGCGGUCUUCACCGGUGCUCUGCUUCUUCUGGUCGAAGGGCGACCGACUUUAUUCCUCCCGGCUUGCGUGUCUUAUGGGAGGCAGUUUCAGCUGCAACUCGGAGGCCAUGCGGAGCAGGUUAUGCUUCUAUGGCGAUUUCGUCGCACCAAGUGGUUCGUCCCCGGCGGCGGCGAGAUUCAAUCCGGGCGGCGGCUGUCAAGGACCCGAUCAAGUUUCUUGCUGUCAGUUUGGGGUCCUCCAUGUUUCUUCUCCUCGCCGUGUCGUCGGCCUCACUCGCCGGCGCUGCUUACCACGCUACUGCACCUGCACCUGCACGGUUGGUGCCUUGGUGGCACCGGCAGACAACUCCGUUUCGUCGCAGAAUUUCAAAUUGAAAUGCUGGCUGCUAACGACAGUUUGCUUUUCUUUAAGGGCACGGUGGACGUUAAGAGGGCCAUGAGUGUGUUCCAGAAAUGUACGGGUCAACUUCUCUGCCCGAGUAAAUGCUGGCUUCUUUUUAGCGAUCAAUGCCCUGAAGAUGUUAGAGACGAAAUUAAAGCAGUGUUGGGGGUUGAGGCAUCCACUUUUGAGAGCAAAUAUUUGGGUCUCCCAACGCCGGAGGGAAGGAUGAAGGAUGAGUGUUUUCAACCGAUAAUGGACAGACUGGGGAAGAGAUUUUGGAGGGGGAUUGAACAUGGACUAGAGCUGCUAAAAAAGGGUCUCAUCUGGAGAGUGGGCAACGGCAAGAGCAUCCAAAUUCAGAGGGACCAGUGGAUUCCAAGGAAUGAUGGUGUGAAAUCAGCAAACUUUAUAAGAAGAUCUAGACUCCGUUGGGUAAACCAACUUAUUGACCCGGUGACAAGAGAGUGGGAUAAGAAUCUGAUUGGAAGCAUUUUUUAUCCUUUUGAUGCAGAGGAGAUAUAUGAGAUCAAAAUCGCUUCGAUGGACAUGGAUGAUUGUAUUGCUUGGCACUAUGAAAAAAAUGGGCGUCUUUACUGUACGAAGCGCAUACAAACUCGCUGCCAGCUUGGAAAACAACACUCCUACAGGUGCAUCAAGCUCCAGAAAUGCUGCUGGGAAUAG
rnacentral:rRNA from 1 species